rnacentral:rRNA from 1 species
GAUGAACGCUGGCGGCGUGCCUAAUACAUGCAAGUCGAGCGAACAGACGAGGAGCUUGCUCCUUCGACGUUAGCGGCGGACGGGUGAGUAACACGUAGGUAACCUACCUAUAAGACUGGGAUAACUUCGGGAAACCGGAGCUAAUACCGGAUAAUAUUUCGAACCGCAUGGUUCGAUAGUGAAAGAUGGCUUUGCUAUCACUUAUAGAUGGACCUGCGCCGUAUUAGCUAGUUGGUAAGGUAACGGCUUACCAAGGCAACGAUGCGUAGCCGACCUGAGAGGGUGAUUGGCCACACUGGAACUGAGACACGGUCCAGACUCCUACGGGAGGCGGCAGUAGGGAAUCUUCCGCAAUGGGCGAAAGCCUGACGGAGCAACGCCGCGUGAGUGAUGAAGGUCUUCGGAUCGUAAAACUCUGUUAUUAGGGAAGAACAAACGUGUAAGUAACUGUGCACGUCUUGACGGUACCUAAUCAGAAAGCCACGGCUAACUACGUG